UACGUACGGGAGGCAGCAGUGAGGAAUAUUGGUCAAUGGGCGAGAGCCUGAACCAGCCAAGUCGCGUGAAGGAUGACUGUCUUAUGGAUUGUAAACUUCUUUUAUACGGGAAUAAAAAGAGGACGUGUCCUCUCUUGUAUGUACCUUCAGAAAAGGACCGGCUAAUUCCGUGCCAGCAGCCGCGGUAAUCGUA
rnacentral:rRNA from 1 species